rnacentral:tRNA from 1 species
AUUACUAUAGUUUAUAAAAACAUAAUAUUGAAAAUAUUAAGAUAAUCAUUUUAAUUUAAAUUUAGUAAUA